rnacentral:lncRNA from 1 species
UUUUUUUUUUUUUUUUUUUCUGGAGACGGACUCUCGCUCUGUUGCCAGGCUGAAGUGCAGUCAUGUGAUCUCAGCUCACUGCAACCUCCGCCUCCCGGGUUCAAGCAAUUCUCCUGCCUCAGCCUCUUGAGUAACUGGGAUUACAGGCGUGCGCCACCACGCCCGGCUAAUUGUUUUAUUUUUAGUAGAGAUGGGGUUUCACCAUGUUGGCCAGGAUGGUCUCAAACUCCUGACCUUGUGAUCCGCCCACCUCGGCCUCCCAAAGUGCUGGGAUUACAGGCGUGAGCCACCGUGCCUGGCCUCUCCACCUUUUUUGCAUCUAUCAAUGCCCCUAGCUCUCUAGCAGCAGCUGUGCAAACACCAGGAGGGCCCAAAGGGGUCUUGGUAAGACACUUUUCAGGGCACUGCGGCAGUGCUAUGGUCCCGUGGUCAGGAGACCUGCAGCCUGUCAGUAACUGACAGUGUGACCUUGAGCAAGAUCAACUCUCUGGCUUGCCUCCUCUUAUCAAAUGGCACAACUAUUUCAGCUUAGAAGGUUGUUGUCAGGUUACAAUGAAAAAGCAUAAUGACUUUUUAAAAAAUGACUCAACUUGAUAAAAAUACAAAAUACUGCCUUUAUUCAAAAUGAGGCAGAGAUGAAUAAGGAGGGAAUUUUGUCCCAGUUAAAUAUUUAUUCCAUUUAAACUACUCAAAGUCCAGUUGUCCCAAUAAUUAAUAAUUUUCACUUCCCCAAACCACCAAGCAAGGUGCACUGUCAUUCUCACCUGCGGGACCUAUGUUUCCCAUUCCGAUGCCUUUAUUCAGGUGAUUGGCAUCAAUGGGUUGCCCUCCUGGUCCUAACCCCAUGCCAAUACCACCAAGGCCAUCUGGAAAGAAAAGAGAAAGAAGCUUAGUUUUCCCCUAUUUAGCAAACCUUGACCCUCAAAGGAAAAGAGUGUUUAGUGAGUUGCAGCUAUCCACUUCAGCCUACCCACCCCCACCCACCAGUGACCUCAGGGCCCAAUGCAAAAUUCAACAUCGGCACACUUGGAAACAGAGCCUUGUUCCGGCGUUUGGGAUAUGUGUGUAUACAACAAAGGCGGCUGAAAACCAACACGGGAAAGUUAACAACCCCCACACUAAGAUUCUUGAGAGCCUAUUUGUUUCACUAACCCAUGGACUGAGAACUGUCUGAUCAAAAAAGGUGACUCAAGACAUCAGGUGGCAAGCAGCACAAAUGUGCCCAAUCCCUAGUAGCCCAAAGGAUGUUUCUCAUGAAAAAACACGUUACAAACCAGCCAAUCAACAUCCUGGGUGUCCACUACUCUCUGAAUCUGGGUGGUUUUAGUAACAAUGAAGCUAAUGUAUGUAUUCAAAGAACCUAUCUUCCUUCCCCCAAAGCUUCCCAACCCACAACUGGAUACCCAGCCCACACUCAACUCCAUGCCCUACCAACACAGACAGGGACACAGAAAUACAGGCUGGUCUCUGGAAACAGCCAAAAGAGCUGACACUUGCAAUAUCUGGGGUAACCACCAUCUGAGGCUUAAACUACAACCAGGUAAGCUUUUAAAAAUCGUAACAAGGGCAGGCGCAGUGGCUCACGCCUGAAAUCCCAGCUACUUGGGAGGCUAAGGUGGGAGGGUCACCUGAACCUGGGAGGUUAAGGCUGCAGUGAGCCGUGAUUGCACCAGUGCACUCCAGCCUGGGGAGACUUUGUCUC